rnacentral:pre_miRNA from 10 species
CGGUGUCCUCCUGCAGUGGCCGGCCCCAGGUUCAAGUAAUCCAGGAUAGGCUGUGAUCUGGGCAGUCAGCCUGUUCUUGGUUACUUGGCUCUGGAGCUGGCCAGAUGCUUCACUCCGGAUG